AGCAGCCGCGGUAAUUCCAGCUCCAAUAGCGUAUAUUAAAGUUGUUGCAGUUAAAAAGCUCGUAGUUGAAUUUCGGGGUUCUACCGUUGGUCGGGCUUCGUCUGUACUGGCGUGUAGAAUUUCUACCUUCUGGGGAACCAUCAUGUUAUUAAUUCAACGUGGUGGGAAACCAGGACCUUUACCUUGAAAAAAUUAGAGUGUUCAAAGCAGGCUUAUGUCUGAAUACAUUAGCAUGGAAUAAUAAAAUAGGACGGUGGUCCUGUUUUGUUGGUUUCUGAAUCACCGUAAUGAUUAAUAGGGAUAGUUGGGGGCAUUAGUAUUCAAUUGUCAGAGGUGAAAUUCUUGGAUUUAU
rnacentral:rRNA from 1 species